AGCGAACGCUGGCGGCAUGCCUAACACAUGCAAGUCGAACGAGAACUUCGGGUCUAGUGGCGCACGUGUGCGUAACGCGUGGGAACUUGCCCUUAGGUUCGGAAUACCUCCCCGAAAGGGGUGCUAAUAACGGAUAAUGUAUUAGGACCAAAGAUUUAUCGCCUUUGGAUGGGCCCGCGUUGGAUUAGCUAGUUGGUAGGGUAAAAGCCUACCAAGGCGACGAUCCAUAGCUGGUCUGGGAGGAUGAUCAGCCACACUGGGACUGAGACACGGCCCAGACUCCUACGGGGGGCAGGAGUAGGGAAUAUUGGACAAUGGGCGAAAGCCUGGUCCAGCAAUGCCGCGUGAGUGAUGAAGGCCUUAGGGUUGUAAAGCUCUUUGAGCCGGGAUGAUAAUGACAGUACCGGGAGAAUAAGCACCGGCUAACUCCGUG
rnacentral:rRNA from 1 species